rnacentral:lncRNA from 1 species
GGGCAGAGCAGGAGUUGGCAGCUGGGCCAAUGCAGGCUUCACUCCAGCAUCCUCAUGGCCGCAGUUUCUAACUCACAUAGCUGCAGUCACAGAAUGUGGCAGGCUGGGGGUAGGGGGAGUUGAGAUUGCUCUCUGUCUGGGUUCUGGGUGGUGAGGACACAGGCUGAAGCUGGAUGGGAGGGCAAAGACUGCACACAUCAAGAACUUCAGGACACAGACCUGGAAAGAAGCCGCUUGGGAGCAGAGCCCGCGGUGCUCCUUUCUACUGAACUCCUCAAUACGAUUCGAUGCAGCUCCCUCCCACGC